rnacentral:rRNA from 1 species
UAGGUGUGGGGGACAUUCCACGUUUUCCGCGCCGUAGCUAACGCAUUAAGUGCCCCGCCUGGGGAGUACGGCCGCAAGGCUAAAACUCAAAGGAAUUGACGGGGGCCCGCACAAGCGGCGGAGCAUGCGGAUUAAUUCGAUGCAACGCGAAGAACCUUACCAAGGCUUGACAUGGACCGGACCGCCGCAGAAAUGUGGUUUCCCCUUUGGGGCCGGUUCACAGGUGGUGCAUGGUUGUCGUCAGCUCGUGUCGUGAGAUGUUGGGUUAAGUCCCGCAACGAGCGCAACCCUCGUUCCAUGUUGCCAGCGCGUAAUGGCGGGGACUCAUGGGAGACUGCCGGGGUCAACUCGGAGGAAGGUGGGGACGACGUCAAAUCAUCAUGCCCCUUAUGUCUUGGGCUUCACGCAUGCUACAAUGGCCGGUACAAAGGGUUGCGAUACUGUGAGGUGGAGCUAAUCCCAAAAAGCCGGUCUCAGUUCGGAUUGGGGUCUGCAACUCGACCCCAUGAAGUCGGAGUCGCUAGUAAUCGCAGAUCAGCAACGCUGCGGUGAAUACGUUCCCGGGCCUUGUACACACCGCCCGUCAAGUCACGAAAGUUGGUAACACCCGAAGCCGGUGGCCUAACCCCUUGUGGGAGGGAGCUGUCGAAGGUGGGACUGGCGAUUGGGACU